ACGGGUGAGUAAUGCCUAGGAAUCUGCCUGGUAGUGGGGGACAACGUUUCGAAAGGAACGCUAAUACCGCAUACGUCCUACGGGAGAAAGCAGGGGACCUUCGGGCCUUGCGCUAUCAGAUGAGCCUAGGUCGGAUUAGCUAGUUGGUGAGGUAAUGGCUCACCAAGGCGACGAUCCGUAACUGGUCUGAGAGGAUGAUCAGUCACACUGGAACUGAGACACGGUCCAGACUCCUACGGGAGGCAGCAGUGGGGAAUAUUGGACAAUGGGCGAAAGCCUGAUCCAGCCAUGCCGCGUGUGUGAAGAAGGUCUUCGGAUUGUAAAGCACUUUAAGUUGGGAGGAAGGGUUGUAAAUUAAUACUCUGCUGUUUUGACGUUACCGACAGAAUAAGCACCGGCUAACUCUGUGCCAGCAGCCGCGGUAAUACAGAGGGUGCAAGCGUUAAUCGGAAUUACUGGGCGUAAAGCGCGCGUAGGUGGUUUGUUAAGUUGGAUGUGAAAGCCCCGGGCUCAACCUGGGAACUGCAUUCAAAACUGACGAGCUAGAGUAUGGUAGAGGGUGGUGGAAUUUCCUGUGUAGCGGUG
rnacentral:rRNA from 1 species